rnacentral:rRNA from 1 species
GACGAACGCUGGCGGCGUGCUUAAUACAUGCAAGUCGAACGGAGCUUAGCAGGUAGUAUACUACUAGCGAAAGCUUAGUGGCGGACGGGUGAGUAACGCGUGGGUAAUCUGCCCCUAAGUCUGGGAUAACAGAGCGAAAGUUCUGCUAAUACCGGAUAAUCUUCUUAGUUCGCAUGAAUUGAGAAGGAAAGGUAAUGCUUAGGGAUGAGCCCGCGUCCCAUUAGCUAGUUGGUGAGGUAACAGCUCACCAAGGCGACGAUGGGUAGCCGGCCUGAGAGGGUGGACGGCCACACUGGGACUGAGACACGGCCCAGACUCCUACGGGAGGCAGCAGUAGGGAAUUUUCCGCAAUGGGGGAAACCCUGACGGAGCAACGCCGCGUGAGGGAAGAAGGUCUUCGGAUCGUAAACCUUGUCAUCGAGGACGAUGAUGACGGUACUCGAGGAGGAAGCCCCGGCUAACUACGUG